rnacentral:rRNA from 1 species
UACAGAGGGUGCAAACGUUGCUCGGAAUUAUUGGGCGUAAAGCGCAUGUAGGCGGCACGGUAAGUCGACUGUGAAAGCCCUUGGCUCAACCAAGGAAGUGCAGUCGAAACUGCCGAGCUCGAGUUCUGAAGAGGGUCGCGGAAUGGCCAGUGUAGAGGUGAAAUUCGUAGAUAUUGGCUAGAACACCAGUGGCGAAGGCGGCGACUGGGAACGAUACUGACGCUGAGGUGGCGAAAAGCGGUUGGGGAGACCAAAGCAGG